UUGUGUUUGAAUGGUUCGGUCUGACUCAGCACGUAGCGGUAACACUUCGCUGCGAACUCGUUUUCUUUUUUAGCCUUACAUUAGUUUGAUGUGGCUUGGUUUAGUAGGUUAGACAAAAUGUGGCAAAUUUAAGAUGGCAGCUCUUUUCUAACCCAAUAGUGGUGUACUUUUAACGCAGUUGUGUUGAUCAAUCUCAAACCCAGCACCUCAUACAAAAAAUGUUGUGCUAAAAUCAGUGCAUUUCAUGAAAUCAAUACAUUUUAUUUAAUGCAGUGGACGAGGCAUCUCUUACGCAACAAAUGCUUUUAAUAAUUCAAUCCAUCCAUCCAACCUCUAACCAUGCCACCCAUUUGGUUCCCCUAAAGGGCUACUGUCUUGAAAUGUAUGAUUUUUUGUACGUUAUCAAUGAAAAAAAAAGACAGCCAAUAUGGGCUGGUGCGUUUUUUCACCACAAAACAUGAUUUUGACAUAUACAGCUUUUUGUAAUUCCCACCAUGAAAAUCCUCUCGAGGGAUUUGUUUUCGAGAAGAAGCAGGAAGUGACGUAAAGGACAGACCCGUCCUCAAGUGGACUCAUUUGUUUCCAUCAAUUUUACUUCUGGGAAGGUAGUUUGUUGUUCCUCCGUGUCAGCCAAAAUGCCGGCUCGUUGCAUUGCUGGGCAUUGCUUGAACACUCGGGAGGAUGGAUUUACCCUUCAUAAGUUUGCAAGAGACCCGUUUCGCUGUGAAAAAUGGAUUGCAUGGGUGCAGAGGACGAGAGCUUCGUGGGUUCCAAAUAACAGCCGCUUAGCCUCACAAGGGUCGCGGGGGUGCUGAAGCUUAUCCCAGCUGUCAACGGGCAGGAGGGAGGGUACAUCCAGAACUGGUUGCCAGUCAGUCACAGGGCAGAUAUCGACACCAUCACUGAGCAGAAGACCCACUCCAGGCCAGCGAGUCACAGAAGGUGUACUUCCUCCUUGGAACCCAUGAAAGAGCAACCACACCGUGCAGAGGUUGGUGCUUGUGUGGAGGUUGUAACUUCAGAACACAGUUAUGCCCAUGAUACACCCUCCAUAAACUAGAGGGGAUGCAGAUUGAUCUCCACAAUGCAAAGCGUCUGGAGAAGCAUGCCAAGUUCUGCAUUUGCAAGAUCUUACAUGAGCUGGCAGAGCAGAAGAAACUGGCUGAUGAUAAUUAUUAUCAUGUUGCUACUGCUCAUUUAUAUAAUGUAAUAUUACGUGUGUAGCUUAACUGUAAGUGUUUGUGGUUGUAAAUGUGAAGUAAGGUUUUGUAUAUUUUAUAUGUCCUUCAAAUUGAUGAUAUUGAGGUAAUUUUGCAGUGUUAAACAAUAGUAUUCGGAAUUGUUUGUUACAAGUGAAGACUAUUUUACUUUUAUUGCACUUUCAUUAUUUGCUUAAAUUUGACCUUAUACAUUUAAUCAACAAAUAAAGUGUUGUCCAUUUGCUAAUCAGACAAGGAUGUGUUGUGGAGCCGGUGGUUGUCCUUGAUCUUUGUACGCAGAAAACCGGCUGGCGGCAUCCUCCUCUCCCAGGCGUUGCCGUAGAGACGAACGACACCAGAUAAGGAACGGAAAGUUAUCAUCCAGGCCCAGGACCAGACUGCGGGGAGGGCAGCCACAUUUACCAUGGACCCAUACAUAUAAAAACCUUGUGUUACCGGGCAGCUUUUUUCUUCUUCUUGGGCUAUCCUGCCAGAAGACACACGUCUCGUGUGUGGCAGAUACCUAGAUAAGACCCGUUCGUCUGUAUUGCACAUUCCUUUGUAAUAAAUCCAUUUGCUGUUAACCUUUUCUAAUCAUUGGUCAUAUCUUCCUCGACUCGUGAACACGCGUAGGUUCCA